UACGGGGGGUGCAAGCGUUGUUCGGAAUUACUGGGCGUAAAGGGCUCGUAGGUGGCCAACUAAGUCAGUGGUGAAAUACUGCAGCUUAACUGUAGCAUUGCCAUAGAUACUGAUGGGCUUGAGUGCAGAUGAGGUAGGCGGAAUUGAUGGUGUAGCGGUGAAAUGCAUAGAUACCAUCAAGAACACCGAUUGCGAAGGCAGCUUACUAAGCUGUAACUGACGCUGAGGCACGAAGGUGUGGGGAUCGAACAGG
rnacentral:rRNA from 1 species